UACGGAGGGUGCGAGCGUUGUCCGGAAUCAUUGGGCGUAAAGGGCGCGUAGGUGGCCCGGUCAGCGUGCGGUGAAAGCUCGGGGCUCAACCCCGAGUCGGCCGUGCGAACUGCUGGGCUUGAGCACUGUAGAGGCAGGCGGAAUUCCGGGUGUAGCGGUGGAAUGCGUAGAGAUCCGGAAGAACACCGGUGGCGAAGGCGGCCUGGCUGGG
rnacentral:rRNA from 1 species